rnacentral:rRNA from 1 species
AACGAACGCUGGCGGCAUGCCUAACACAUGCAAGUCGAACGAGACCUUCGGGUCUAGUGGCGCACGGGUGCGUAACGCGUGGGAACCUGCCCUUAGGUUCGGAAUAACUCCCCGAAAGGGGUGCUAAUACCGGAUAAUGUCUUCGGACCAAAGAUUUAUCGCCUUUGGAUGGGCCCGCGUUGGAUUAGCUAGUUGGUAGGGUAAAAGCCUACCAAGGCGACGAUCCAUAGCUGGUCUGAGAGGAUGAUCAGCCACACUGGGACUGAGACACGGCCCAGACGCCUCCGGGGGGCCAGAGGGGGGAAUAUUGGGCACUGGGCAGAAGCCUGAACCAGCCAUUCCGGGUGAGGGAUGAAGGCCUUAGGGUUUAAAAGCCCUUUUACCCGGGAUGAUUAUGACAGUCCCGGGAGAAUAAGCCCCCGCUAACCCCG